rnacentral:tRNA from 1 species
UGUAGCUCAGCGGUAGAGUGCUCGCUUAGCACGUGUGAGGAACUGGGUUCGAUUCCCAGCA